rnacentral:lncRNA from 1 species
AGGUUUUUAAAACUUUAUUAAUUUAAUAUUCUUAGUCAUUAUUUGUUUCCUCAGAUAUUCUAUUCCUUCUUCAUUCAGGCAUAACAGAUUGUAUGUUUCUAGGAAUUUAUUCAUUUUUCAAGGUUAUUCAAUUUGUUGGCAUAUAAUUGUUCAUAGUAUUAUGAGUACUCUCAUAAUUCUUUGUAUUUCUGUGGUAUCAGUUGUAAUAUCUCCUAUUUUGUUUUUGAUUUUAUUGAGUCUUCUCUUUUUUUUUUUCCUCAGUGUGGCUAGAGAUUUGUUUAUUUUACCUUUUCAAAGAACCAACUCUUAAUUUCAUUGAUCUUUUCUAUUGUCAUUUCAGUCUCUAUUUCAUUUAUUUCUUUUCUCAUCUUCAUUACUUCCUUCCUUUUACUGAUUGGACUUACUUUUGUUCUCCCUUUUCCAGUUCCUUGAUGUGUAAUGCUAAGUUUUUUACUUGAGAUCUUUCUCCUUUUUUGAUGUAGGCAUUUACUGCCAUAAACAUCCCUGCAUGCCAUAAAUUAUGGUAUAGUGUAUUUCCAAUUUCUUUUGCCUUAGGUUUUUUCUUUAAUUUCUAUUUUAAUUUAUCCUGUGAUCCAUUAGUUGUUCAGAAACAUAUUGUUUAAUUUCCAACUAUCUGUCAGUUUUUCAAAAUUCCUUGUUAUUGCUUUCUAGCUUUAUUUCAUUUUUGUUAGAGACUAUAGUUGAUAUGAUUUUAAUAUUCUUAAACUUAUUAAGACUUGUCUUGUGCUCUAACAUAUAAUCUAUAACAUAACAACCUACUUUGGAGAAUGUUUAGUUGAGAAGUUGAGAAGAAUAUGCAUUUUGCUGCUGUUGGAUAGAAUGCUCUAUAUAUGUCUGUUAGGUAUAUUUAGUCUAACAUAUUGUUCAAACCCACUGUUUACCUGUUUAUUUCCUAUCUGAAUGAUCUGUCCACUGUUAAAAGAGGAGUAUGGAAAUCCCCUGCUAUUAUUGCAUUGUAGUCUAUCUUACCCUUUAGAUCUAUUAAUAUUUGCUGUAUAUAUUUAGUUGCUUUGAUGUUGGAUGUGUAUGUGCAUAUAUAUAAUUUGUAUGUGUGUAUGUGUAUUUGUAUAUAUAAAAUUGUUAUAUCCGCUUGAUGAAUUGACUCCUUUACAAUAAUAUAAUGCUUUGUCUCCUUAGCUGUAUUUUUUUAUUUAGAGUCUAUUGUUUUUAAUAACCCUGUUUCUCUGCUCUCUUUUGAUAACCAUUUUCCUAUAAUAUCUUUUUUCAUCCCUUUACUCUCAGUGUAUGUGUGUCUUUAAGCUUAAAGCGAGUCUGUAGUAGGCAGCACCUUUUCACAUCUUGUUUUAUUUGAUUUAAAAUUAAUUCAGUGACUCUGGGUGUUUUGAUUGAAAAAUUUAAUUCACUUACAUUUAAAGUAAUUACUCACAGGUAAGGAUUUACUAUGGAAUUUUGUUUAUUUUUUCCUGACUGUUGUAUAGUUUAUUUUUUUGUUCUUCUCUUUUAAGAUUACUGUCUUUCUUUAUAAUUUGUUUUCUUUGUAUGUGGUAUGCUUUGAUUCCUUCCACUUUAUCUUUUGCAUUUCUACUAGAAAGUUUUUUCUUGUGGUUAGCAUGAAGCUUACAUAAAACAUAUUUUGGUUAUAAUAUUCUAAUUUAAGCUAAUAGCACCUUAAGUUGAAUCACAUACAAAGGCUCUACACUUUUAUUUGUCCCCUUCCCCGCAUUUUAUGCUAAUUGUCAUACUUUAUAUUUAUAUAUGUGUUGUAAGUGUGUGUGUGUGUGUGUUGUCUUGCUCUUAACUAAUUAUUUAUAGCUAUAGUUAUUUUUAAUACCUAUUUCUUUUAGCCCUCAUACUAGAGUUAAGAUUUACACACCACCUUUUCAGUAUUGGUAUCUUCUGAAUUUGAUUAAAUAUUUACAUGUACCACUGGGGUUUUACUUUCGUAUGUUUUUAUAUUGAAACUUAUUACAUUUUUAUUGAAAUAAAAUAAAUCCUUUAUUUAUUUUAAGGUCAGUCUUAUGGUGAUGAAUUUUCUCAGCUUAUGUUGGUCUUCGACUAUAUCUGUCUUUCAUUUCUGAAGCACAACCUUGCUAGGUGCCACAUUCUUGAUUGAGAGAGUAUUUCUUUAAAUUAGCUCAAUCUGUUUUUUUCUCUCAGCACUUUAAAUAUGCUAUCCCACUCCUUGCUGGCAUGCAAGGUUUCUGUUGAGAAGUCUGCUCAUAGCCUUAUGGGAGGGUUUUUUUUUUUUUUAAUAAAUGAUGAGUUUCUUUUCUCUUGCUCCUUUCAAGAUUUUCUCUUUGUCUUUGAAUUUUGACAAUUUGAUUAUAAUGUGUCUCAAAGUAUUAAUUUUUGAAUUUAUCCGCUUGAAGUCCUUUGAGCUUUCUGAACUUUUAUGUUCAUAUACCUCCCAAGAUUUGGAAAGUGUUCAGGCAGUAUUUCUUUAAAUUAGUUUUCUGCUUUUCUGUAUCUCUCUUCUUUUUGUUCUGCUAAUCAGCUGAUUGCAAAUGAUCUGCCUUUGAGUUAACAAAUCACUUCUUCUGCAUGAGCAAGUC